rnacentral:misc_RNA from 1 species
AUUUUUUCCUCUUAGCCAAAACAAUUCCUUUACCUGUGCAUCAUUAAGUCCUCCAUCUCCUGCUCACUAUCGCACCUUCGCGCCUCCAUCUCCUCCCUUGCAUCACCAUCAAAUCCUCUUUAUCACCAAGCCAUACCCAUAUACAGAAGACCCAUCUCUUAACCAAACUCCCUCUUUCACAGAAACCAGUGGCAGAUCUACAUUUUCUUCCACACACGCACCUUUUCUGAUCUAAAAUUACAGAUGAUAGAUUGGUUAUAAGCUGGUAUUGAGUGUUACUUCGUGCUUAUCCAAGCCAGAAUGUUUCAAUUUUCAAGUUGAUUCCUCGCUUGAAGCCUGCUGAAGACAAGAAGUCUAGGUUACCUUGGAAUAGAACUGUGAACCGUGCAUAUGUGUUAUUGGGAAGUGUUGUCUGGGAGAGAUAUGGUUAGGCACAAACGUGUAGGUGGUUCGCAAGGCAUUAAAAUGGGAACAUUAUCUACACAUGAAGGUGUGCCUUCAAUGCCUUAGUCACAGCCAUCUCUCCAAUCAAACACGCCUAUGGUUGUCCAAGUAGGUGCACCUACGACUGGCCAAGAGCCUGCACCUACAGCUGGCCAAGCGCUUUGCACCUACGGCUAGCCAAGAGCCUGCACCUAUGGCUGGCCAAGAGCUUACACCUACAGUUGACCAGGAGCCUACAGAUGCUGGCUCACAAGGUUCUUGCCCUUCCUCAGUGGAGAUUGAUUUUGCAGGGUGACAAUGCCUUGCACUUCGUGAAGAAAAGUUAUCUGCUGGAUUCGCAGCCACUCGAGUGAUCACUUAUUCCUUUAAGCAGCGAAUAGACCCUACAGGUGUUAACUAGAAGAGUGUCCCGCAAGUAACAAAAGAUUUUUAUUGGGAGGAAUUUAAGAAAAAGUACCAUUGGGAGGAUUAUGAGGAAGUAGGGAUAAAGGUUGUCUGGUAAUCAAAGGCUGCAAAACGCUAUAAGGACAUGCUUGCAUAUUUCAAGAGUAACAGAAAAGGCCCCAGUAUGUCAGUAAAGAAACCUGGAGUCAAUUUGAGCAGCACUGGAAUGAUCCCGAGGUUAUUAGGCGCUCUGAGCAGAAUUCAUGAAAUUGUUGUGGUGUUGUAAAUGCUCCUGGGCCAUCAACCCACACAGGUGGAUCCAUAUCAUAUCAGGAAUGGUCGGAUAAAUUGGUGAGUUUUUUCAUAAAUAGUUAAGGUAUUUAAUUUCAUAUAUGAUUGUUGAUGGAAAUGUGAUGGAAUUGUCAUGGUAUAAUAAUCACACAUGAAUGUUUAUGGAAAUGUGAUAGAAUUGCCGUGAAAAUUAUUGUGGAUUGUUGUGUGAAUAAAUUGUGAGAUUUUUAUUACUUUCUGAUAGUGGGGAAAUGUUAAAAAUAUAAGGGAAACUCUGUCCAAUUUAUUUUUGACUUCGGUAUAAAUUUCAAUAAUUUAUUAUAAAUAUAUAAUAAAAUGUUUGUGAUAACUGUUUAUUAUUUCUUCAGGGAAAAGAAUUGGGUCAAAAGCCAAAUCCUUCUGAGUUGUUUCUCCAAACUCACACUCGAAAACAUGACAAAACCACUUUUGUGGAUGAAAAAUCUAGGCAAAUACAUGAAGCAAUAGU